rnacentral:rRNA from 1 species
UACAGAGGGGGCUAGCGUUGUUCGGAAUUACUGGGCGUAAAGGGCGCGUAGGCGGCCUGUUAAGUCGAACGUGAAAUCCCCGGGCUCAACCCGGGAACUGCGUCCGAUACUGGCAGGCUUGAAUCCGGGAGAGGGAUGUGGAAUUCCAGGUGUAGCGGUGAAAUGCGUAGAUAUCGGGAGGAACACCGGUGGCGAAGGCGGCGACCUGGACCGGUACUGACGCUGAGACGCGAAAGCGAGGGGAGCGAACAGG